AGGGUUCUAUAGAAGAAACCCUAGCCGUCACCCCCUCCCCUUUCUCUCUAUAUCGCGUCAUUAUGGCCAAAUACGGCAAAGGUUCAGGCAAAGUUGCAUGUUUUCAGUCCGUGUUCGACCUUUUUGGGUAAGAGCAUUAAUUGCUCUUACCCUCUCUCCUCCACACCACCAUGAAACCACCACCAAAGAGGUAAAACCCUCAUCUCGCUUACUUUUUCUGAAUUUUGGGUCAAAAUGAGUACAAAUCCCUUUAAUGGAUUUUGUCUCUUAUCAUUUUUUGAAUCUGUGGCUCCCAUUGGUUCAUGCAAUACCAACGGGAUUCAACAACGGACCUACAAAUUUGACCCUUCAUGCACUUGGGUCAUUAAUUUCUGACCGUUGAUUUCCAGAAAUUUGUUGAAAGUACCACAUCGAAUUUUGAUUAGGGUUUUGAGAUUUUCAGGGUUCUAUCUAAAGAACCCCCAAUUCACAAUUUACAGAGGACCGAAUAUCAGACAUAUUCACUAUAAAACUUGAAUUUCUCAAGUUUUGGCAUUUUGCUUUGAAACUUCAAAUUUCCUCGAGUUAAGUUAAAUUUUAAAACAUUUUUCUUUGUUGGUGUAUGGCUGAGCUUUGAGUUGAGAAGCAAGGAUCUCCAAAGGUUCAAUCUCGACAAGGCUGCGUCAACAAAAGGAUUGGCGUGCUAGUUGUAAUUAGCUCGAUUGUUAGAUUGCUUGGACGACUUGAGGUCUUGGUAUACAGGUUGACGGCCCUCCCAAUAGGAUAUCAGCUCAGCCGACAGUGUUGUUGUGCUCCACUUGUUCCAGAGUUGCCUUGUGAGUCAGCAUGGUUAUAUAUGCAUAUGCAUGGGUAUGAUGGGGCCCUAUCCCAACCACAUUAUGUCAUGUACUCCAGUAGAGGCUUGUAGACAGUUAUGUACAAUCAGAUGUGUGUGUGUGAUAGCCUUGUCGGCUCGUCCAGUAUGUCCGGCUUGUUAUGUAGCUAUGUCCUUUUAGGGUUAUUUUAUUCUACUCUAUUGCUUCUGUAAGUCAGCAGGUUAUCUCAUAACGGUCGUAAUAGCUCACCUAUGCUUAUAAUUAUGUUAUAGAUGUAUGUCUAGGUACUUGGCAAGUAAAGUCAGGUGUCCCUCAUGGCCCUUCAGUUUAGGUCGUGAUAAAAGUGGUAUCGGAGCAGUUAUGUCCUAGGGUUGUCUACAAGCCAUGUCUAGUAUAGUCUUGUUUAUGGGUGUGUUGCGUGCCACACUUAUAAACAUGAGGCUACGGGGGCAUUUAUAAUGGUUAUCCUUAUUUCGUAUUCUAGAUCGUGCUAUUGAGCGGAGUCAUAGGGUGUGAAAUCUUCAACCCUGACCUUUGUUGUUAUAUAGUUUGAUGAUGACUUCUUCAGAAAGAGGCUACGGAUGAUUCGAGGAUUACAAUGACGACAAGAGGAGGAGUGUGUUACUCUUUAGAGGAGGACCCAAGUGAGGAUAUACCCUUCUUGGAGACGGACCCAUCUGAGAUUAUGUCUUCUAUAGAAACAGAUCCGUCUGAGAUUCAGGAUGAAUCAAUACUACAAGCAUCGUUCACUUUGAUAAGUGUAGAGGAGCCAUGAAAAGCUCUGAUGUUAUCAGUUUCACCUUUGGCUAUAGCUGGGCAAGGAAGAGAAAGGCUAAUGCUGGAAGUUGAUCCCCAAGCUUCGUAUUAUGAUUGACCAACAGAGAGUGCAGGGCCUUCCGAGAAACCAAGGAGUUUGUAGCCUGAGGACCCUAUUAACCAAGGCUUGGUGGCUUCGUCGGAGCAAGGUUCAAAUGAAGGUGGUGGCUUCGUCGGAGCAAGGUUCAAAUGAAGGUGGUGGCUUCGUCGGAGCAAGGUUCAAAUGAAGGUGGUGGCUAGACCGGACAGGUUAGUAUAGUUGGUACAUUUGUAGAUGUUCCGGGUGGCGGUGAACAACAGACAGAGAGACAACGGGAAGAAGAAUUUUCCCAGCCCAUGUUAGAGCAAUUCGUACUAGAUCAGGGUUCUAGAGUAGGGCUAUGGAAAGUCUCACAUCCGUCGGAGUUUUAGGACCAGAGCAACUAAUGAUGAAAGGUAUAUUUGUCGCUUUGAUAAAGUGUUAAAAUUAAGCAAGUAUGAUUUUCAAAUGUUUUAUGUUAUGCAACGACGGUAAGUCGUAAAACCCCAAUGAUUAUAUUAAGGAAAGGAAAAAAGAGUAAUAUUAAAGAGGAACCUUGAGUGGAAUCUGUGGUCAGACGACAGGUUAAGAGUGUGACUGGUAAUAUGGUAAUGGUAUGAUUAGACAAGAGAAGUAUAUAUAAGACAUGGUUCAACGAAGAAGAGUAUCGGUUAUAAGGAUUAUGAUGCCUAAUGUCUAAAGGGGAUAUGAUACAAAAUGUAGCCAAGGAUAGUUAUUGUUUGAAUGUUAAAAAGGGAUAUGAUUUGUUAGAAGAGGUAAAAGAACGAUGUAUGUUACUCAAUAAGCUAGAUAUUGACGAGAGCCUUCUUAUCGUAUAGAGUAUAUUGGCAAGGGUGUUAUAUAUAGGUACGAGCAUAAGGAUAUAUGAAUCAUGAUUUGAUCCGCAGGAAUGUAUAAGACAAAGGUAGGACCAAGGUAUGGAACAUUUUCCUCCAGAAUUUUUAUUACCACAGGAUUAUUGAGCUAGUAAUACAAGGCUGAAUAGCUAAUGAAGGAAGUGAUUGAUGUUUUGAAAGAAUUAUUUGUAUGAUGGGCAUUGGAUGAGUUUGAAGUCGCAAAUUGAUACAAAAUACGCCUUUCAUUGAUGAGACGAACUUGUAGUCUAAAAGAGACCUGCCUAAAGAACAGGUGUUUAUGUAAUGAAGAAAAGGAGGAAUAUUAACAAUUAGGGCAGAUUUUUGAGAAUAGAAUUCUAUGCUAGAUACCAUUACAAUGAUGAAAUGGGAGAGUGAGUAAUAGGAGAAAGAUGAUUUCUGGAAGGACGGUAAGGAAAAUUAAGAAGAUCUCUUCGAUGAAAGAUUAGGCCCAUCCAGGGCCAAUACGUCUAUGAUAAUAUGUGACCCUUUACAUGUAUGUGAAACUGACCAGAUAGACUCAGACGACGAAUAGUUACGAUUAAGAUUAGUCGCGAAAAUUGCUGGGAGUAUGUACUUGCAGGAGAAAGGAAAGCUAAAUAAGAUGUUAAAUAUAGAGUAGCGGGCUAAUACCUCAAGGGGGAAGAUGAGACGACAAGUAUGGGAUCAGAAGUAUGCCUUGUUAGAAGAUGGACAGAUAAUAACAAAAAGGAAUCAGAAACCACCUUAAAGGGAUAUUACGCUAGCAGGCAGAUAAGGUGUAAGGACAAUUUGAGGAUAAACAUAACCAGCCAGUCAUAUGCAUGACUAAAUAAAGAUUGGGAGAUAGCACUCCAAGGAAAGAACUACUCGAAGUUUCAAGAUAAGGGUGUAACAGGAAGUUCAAUAAUGAAGAAACAGAGAAGGAUUGAGUAUGAUGGCACUCGAAGUAAAUAAUGGACUAAGAUAAGAAGUUAGGUGCAAUAGCCACCGCGAGCUAGUCGUGUGGUACGAAGUUCUAGCAUCACAGAACGGUUGGGAAAGCAUUGUACAGGGAAAGCCUUAAAGGCAAAAGCAUUCGAGUCAUAAUCUAGUAACAUCUUUGUUGAGGGAAAGAUGCGGAGUUAACAAUAGAAGAGGGCUGAAAUGAAAAUGAACUAUUCGAAGGAACGCGAGUACUUGACGGUAACAGCCUACUAUAAAAAAAAAUGUGUAUGAUUAUAUGGGAGCGAAAGGUUAUAGAUGAUACGAGAAUUCCAGGCAAAGAAUAGUCAGGACGUAAAAAAAAUUAAAGUCGCAUUGUAAGUAAAUAGAAUAAGAUGGACCUAAAUGAGGAUCUAAAGGCUAGUAGCGGUAGUGAAGAGGAUUAUGAGGAGUAAGUUUGUGUAAGACAGCUUCAUUGCAUUAAAAUUAAUAACGAUGGAUCUAACACCGAAAUUGAUACGUUUAUUCAGGAAGGUAGCAGAAGGUUAUGGAAUUAUACACCGUAGAAGUGAUAUAAGUAUAUGAGAAGCUUGCCAAGAUCACUAUAGAUCUUCAACUAGUGAAGCGUAUCGUAGCUGAGGAUAACAAUAUCAAGAUAUGGUACAUGUUGGGAAACCUGAGUAAUGACAUGGCAUCCUAGAUAUGGUAUUUUUUUUUUUUAAGAAAAAAAACAAAGCUCGAAAGGGGAUUUAGGAAAUGAGUAUCUCAACAAGAUGGAUUCCUAAAAUAGAAAUACCGACUCUAUGUUAAAUGUAUCAAGGGUAGAUGAUCUAUUCAGAGACAACAAAGAUGUAUCACCUUAGUAUAUCAAUAAAAAGGAAAUAUUACAGAGUUCAUGGUUCGUUAAUAAAUAAACAAAAGCCUAAAAGACCGAGGUAAAAAUAUGGAUAUGUCAUUGAGGAAUGAAGGAAUGAUCAGUAUGGAUUUUAUGAUCAUAAGGAAUUAAGUAAGCUAUAUAUGGAACUGUCCGGUUACCUAGCAUUUUUUUUAUUCGGUUAAGAUGCUCAGUUUCUACUAACACCUGAAGAUCAGUACAUUCAGAGAAACCUGGAGAAUGUAGGUUACUGCAGUAUUGCUCUCCACCUUGAGAUAGAUGAGUAGGUAGAGCGCACUUUUCAGACGCCUUGGGAUAUGUUAUGAGCAUGUAUGUUGGACCUGUAAGGAAGUUUGGAUGACCAGUUAAUGUGGCUUGAAUCAGCAUAUGGUUGUAGUCACCAUACCAGCAUCCAGAUGGACCGUAUAAAGUCUUAUAAGGACAGAAGAGUAUCAGAAGAUUUCAGAUUUGAUAAGGAGAACAAUUUUAUCCCUGGAUACUUUUGACUUCACAAGAUUAUACGCAGAAUGGGCCAAAUGACCUACGAGUUAGAUUUAGUUGGAAUCCGCAUAUCCGGUCUUUCAUAUGUCUAUGCUUCGUAAGUGUAUUAGAAAUUCUCCCAGAGUUGUGCCAGUUGAUGAUUUUCAGAUUACAGAAUAGUUACCGUAUGAGAAAGUUCCUACUACCCUUUCAGAUCGCCAAGUUCCAGGUUCGUGGAUUGAGAACCAGAGAUGUAGCCUCGAUAAUAGUACUAUGAAAGAAUGUGAAGGUAGAGGAGAUGAAUUGAGAAGCUAAGAAAGAUAUGAGAUCCAAAUAUCCGCAUUUGUUUCCGCUACCAAAGGAGACCUAGACUGAGAUAUCAUUGUCUUCAAGUUCGUAGUAUUUUAUUACUUAUGAUUACUGGUCGUGAAAGGACAUUAUUGUUAUUAUUAUUGUGGCCCUGUGUGGUGUUGCAUUAUUUGGGUUACUGCAUGACUGGUUGGUGGUACUACAGUUACAAGGGAGACUCUGCCGAAAUUUCUAUAGAUUUCCUGAGAGCCUAACAUUUGAGGACGAAUGUUCCUAAGGGGGGAAGGAUGUUACACCUCAAAAAAAUUCACGCUGUUUGCGUCGUAAGUAAACUAACAUAAGCCGGAGAGGCCAUGAAACCUUAUAAGGAUAAGUAAAACUUUUAACAAGUGUUAAGCAAGUAUCUAAAGGUUCCCGGAUCAAGUGAAUCGAAGAAAUCAAGUUUGUCAAAACUUUGGGAAAACUUGGUAGAAUUCUGGAUAGGAUUUUUGGGCCAACUUGAGAGAGGUAUAUCUCCUAUAAUAUGAGGAUUUAUGGAAUGUAUAACCUAUGUAAAUUCAAUUUUAGUGAGUCUUCAUUCCAAUUCAACUGACAGAUUGCAAAUCUGAGAAGUACAGGAUAAUGUAUGGCUCGUACAAAAUUGCACGUCCCGUACCUCAUUUUCCAGAAUUUUCUAGAAGUUGGCGGAAAGUUGAAAAUCUGACAUCCCAUGUACGGGAUACAUGUACGGGACGUAUAUGAAAGUACGGCCCGUACAUUUAGGGCUUACUUUAUGUCGGUUAAAUUUUAAGUGAAGUUUUAUAUUCGUUUUUCUUCAUUUAGUUUCGCUCUUCACCCAUUUCUGACCCUAAAACUCUCCCAAACCCUCUCCAUGAGUUCUUAUACCAAACCAAAGAAAAACUCAAUGGAAUCAAGUGCUAGGAAGCUCACUAGGGUUAGUAGAGUUCAAAUAUCUCUUUAGUGUUGAAGUUGGAAGUUUCAUCCUAGUGAAGUAAUUUGAUCCAGAGCUUGUUCUUGCAUGAUUAAGGUACGGUUUCAUCUCUAUUGCAUGUUCUUGAGGUUGUUUGAUUGUUAUAAACUUGAUUGAAGGAAGAAAGUGAAAAAGGAAGUCCAAGAAUGAGUUAGAAACCAUGUUGAGAUUAUGGACUAUUUUGAUCAUGUUGUGGUUGUGUUGUUAAGCUAAUUUCCGUGUAUAUGGAGAGUAUCUAAUGUUGUUGGUGUGUUGAUGAGAUUAUGCUCCUUGAUUGGGAAGAAAGGAAGUGUAUAUUGAUAUUGUAUAUUGGUAUACUUUGGGUUGUUUGGUGUAUAUUCUUUGUAUGGAUAGUAAAAAGAGUAUUUAAGGACUUUUGUAAGCUUGUUGUGUUAUUAUGGGUUGUUGUAUAUGUUGUUGUGGCUAGAGAAUAAGGGGAAGUGCUGCAAGUUUCGUUUUAGAACCAAGUUAUCAUUGAUAUACGUGAUAUACUAGCACCAUCUAAGCUUGCAUAUAUAUUCCUUGUUAUGGGAUUGGCGUGCUAGUUGUAAUUAGCUCGAUUAUUUAGAUUGCUUGGACGACUUGAGGUAUGUUAAGGCUAACUCUUCUUUCAUUUUGGCAUGAUUUAUAACGAAACGAAACGUAAACGAAAGUCAUUCCAUAAUGAUUAUACUUUUAGAUAUACUAGAAGCUUAUGUCCUUGUUCUUCUUAUGAUGUUAUUGAUCUUGUCUUAUGGUUGUUGAUCUUACCUUAUGGUCAUUGAUCCCUCAAGGUGAGAUGUGUCGGUGAUGUUAGUUCCAUAAUGGUAAUCGGAGGUAUAUCGACCUUACGUCACUCCGAUAGAGUCGUAACACCUCUUUGUGCUCUCAUCCAUGCAUUAUAUAUAUAUGUACUAUUUUACUACACCAAGUCGCGCUAUAGUCGGCCGGGUAUGGCACCUAUUGUGCACACUACUGCAGCUGGGUACAGUAUGAUGAUGAUAGCCCCAAAGAGUGGCGUAAUGAUGAUGAUGCAGCCCCACAGUGUGGCUUAUAUAUAUAUAUUCAAAAGAAAGCAUACAUGUCAUACGUGCUCAGAGGCAUUCAUAUGUACAAGUUGACUCUCUCUUAUCUUAUGUUACUUUCAUGUCAUUACUAUGUUUCUUUCAUGCCUUUCAUUACUAUGUUUCUUUUAUGUCUUACAUACUUAGUACUUUGUCUAUACUAACAUCCCUUUUGCCUAGGGACGCUGCGUUUCAUGCCCGCAGGUCUUGAUAUACAGGUUGACGGCCCUCCCAAUAGGAUAUCAGCUCAGCCAACAGCGUUGUUGUGCUCCACUUGUUCCGGAGUUGCCUUGUGAGUCAGCAUGGUUAUAUAUGCAUAUACAUGGGUAUGGUGGGGCCCUGUCCCAACCACAUUAUGUCAUGUACUCCAGUAGAGGCUUGUAGACAGUUAUGUGCAGUCAAAUGUGUGUUUGACAGUAUGUCCUUUCAGAUUUAUUUUAUUCCAGUCUAUUACUUCUAUGAGUCAGCAGGUUAUCUCAUAGUGGCCCUAAUGGCCCACCUAUGCUUAUGAUUAUGUUACAGAUGUAUGUCUAGUGGUACUUGGCAAGUAAGGUUAGGUGCAUGGCCCUUCAGUUUGGAUCGUGACAAUAAGUUUGGCCCCCGCUAAAUUUUCCUUUUUUGAUUUUGAGAUGAUGUAUUUUAUACGAGUUAAUCCCUAGAUACAUAAAGUGUUGCAUUAUUUCUGUUGUUUGUAUAUAUUUGUACAUAUUAAAAUU